UGACCAGGAUAAGCAUCUACUGCAUGGACAGAUAAAUGGAUAAAUGAAUAAGUAAAUUAAAAAAAAAAUAUAUAUAUUAUUGUGGAAGUAUCAAACAAUUAAUUUGAAUGAUGGAUAAUGCAGGUAAUUUCCAUAAUUUAGCUGCCUAUAUUAAAAGAAAGAAAAGCCAAGUUCUACAAAAGUGCAAUUUGUAUAAAGCUUUUCAGUGUUGGGUUCUGAAGGGGAGAAGGAGGCCUAGUAAUCAAUCCAGGGUGGAGAUGGGAGCCUGGCACUCUGGGAAUGCAGGGUGGAGAUGGGAGCCUGGCACACUGCAGGGUGGAGGUGGGAGCCUGGCACACUGCAGGGUGGAGGUGGGAGCCUGGCACACUGGGACUGCAGGGUGGAGAUGGGAGACUGGCACACUGCAGGGUGGAGAUGGGAGCCUGGCACAUUGCAGGGUGGAGAUGGGAGACUGGCACACUGCAGGGUGGAGAUGGUGGCCUGGCACACUGGGACUGCAGGGUGGAGAUGGGAGCCUGGCACACUGCAGGGUGGAGAUGGGAGCCUGGCACCCUACACUUCUAAAUAGAAAUUGGGGGUUAAAUGGAUUGCAGGUGUCUGGAGCUCAACUAUGCUGAUGUUCUGCCCAUGACCUCUUCCCUGAGCCAGUUCCCUUGCUUGCCACACUGUUCACAUUAUCCAUCUCAUAGCCUGCAUGCAGUGCUCAAAACAUCCCCUUUCACCAGCCCCCACCCCGGCAUCUCCUGGGACCCAGGCAAUGCUAUCAUCAGAGGUCUCCAGGGCGACCGCAUGGCCGGGGGCAGCCUGCGAUGCUCAGCACUGGGCUGGGACGAGAAGACUGUUCCCAGCUGCGGAUGUUCACCAGGGUCUGAGGCACCAGCGGCAGACAUCACUCUCCUGGAGAGACUCCCAGAAUUCAUCCCCGCUUUGAGGAACAUGUGAAUAAAGUCCAGACAACAGUUGAGGAACAUCCAAGACAAAAAAAAAAGCCCUUUCAUGUUUU